GGCUACAUGCCUGGUGCAAUUUAGGGAUACAUUUACGAUCACAGGUUAUGGUUGCCCUGAUAUCAACGUUGACUUGUGCAAGUCUAAAUUUUUGGCCUUUUGGAAGGCUCUCUCUCUCAUAAACACACACUUGCACAACGAAAAGCACAGGUUUCUAAUCCGGGGCAAAUAAUUCUAGUUUGGGAGGUGUCUUGACCACUUGCAGUCAGAGGUACACCGUCCUAUCACCUUCACUCGUUUUUUGGAUGGAUUGCAUGUGAUUUGAUCACUUUAUGCCUCUUGCGCCUGUUUCAAAGGAAAACUAAGGCUCUGUUGUUCAGUAUUUGAGAUGAUUUGGUGUCUCGUUGGUUGUGGAUAUCAACAUUUUUGUGUUUCUUUGUCACUGCUUACUUGGUAUGAACAGAGAUUGUCAGUUUGUUGAUUAUACAUUUAACAGCUUCAGAAUCACUGAUGCAAAUGUUGGAACCAAAAACAACUAAUGUCCUGUUCGAGUAUAUAUAUAUAUAGCAAAUGUUCUCCCAAUAAAGGUCAUAGCUGAAACAGUUAGGGAUAAGGGAUGGAAGUCCAAGAAAACUGCCCGAGUCUUUGAGAUGGAAUUUCCUCUGCCCUACUACCGUCUUGUCUUUGCUUGAGAAAGUCCACCCUUAUCAUUUCUUACCUAUAUUAUCUUUACCCAGAAAGUUGAAUCUCUCCCUUUUCCUCUCUGUCUUAUUUUUUCUAACUGCAGGUGGCUUCUAAUCUAAAGCCAAGUGGGGUUCUAUCUUUCUCUCUCUUCUACACACACAGGAGACUGGGGUAGGGUUCCUGGUGGCUGGUGUACAUAAGCUCUUUAUUUUGGUACCGGACUUGGCCAUUCACAGGUACACUGCUUUAUCCUUAUCAUGUUAACUCACUUGCCAUGAAUUCUACUGUUAGAGAGUUUUUGUAGAAGAUUAGGGAAUUGUUUUUCAUCUUCAUCUCUGAUGCAAUAUUAAUCAUAGAUAUUUUAGUUUGGCCAUUAUGGAGUGUGUAUUAUGCAAAUUUCUGAACUGGAUAGUUACAUGGAUCUUAAAAAUCAAUGGCCUUAUUUUUCUGCAAUUCAUUCUCUGCUAAUGAUUUCCGGAUCUAUGAGGCUCAAAAGGAGGAAAUAUGAUGGAAGAUUGCCAUUUUAGCAUUGUAGAUCACCACAAGGACCUAACUUGUAAGGAAUCUUGCAUCAAAUCCUAUCAUUAGCGAUAUGAAAAGAUACAUGCAUCACAAAAUUGAAAUACACAGCUAGAGAUAGACUGGAAUGUUUUCUUAUACAAGUAUAGCCUAUAUAUGAUUCAUUUGGUGUUAGAAUUUAAUGUGAAUUCUGAGUUUAAUGAAUAGAAUUGGUGGCAUGAGUACUUGCUGGGAGACCAAGAAGGAUAAGAAAGUAAACAAGGAAACUGCAUUCAUAAAGAAUGGAAGCAAAUUACUGGAGAAGCUUGUUGACAUUUGUGAUGGAAAAUGCAAUUCUAUUCGUAGUUUCUCGGCCACAGAGCUCAAGAAAGCAACAAACAACUAUGAUCCACAGAAAAUAUUGACCAGCGAUUCAGGCUAUAAAUUGUACAAGGGUUUUUUGCAAGGCAGACCUGUUUCUGUUAAGAAAUUUAAGGAUGACGAUGAACAGUAUGAAUAUUGUUUCAAUGACAUUGUUUAUGCAUCAAAAAUGAGUGUACAUAAAAGUUUUAUGAAGUUGUUAGGCUGCUGCUUGGAGGCUCAGAUUCCUAUUCUAGUUUUCGAAUAUGUUGGAGAUUGGACACUUUCUGAUUUUCUAUGGGGCUCUGAGGAAGCCCGUUGUCAGCCUUUGCUAUGGAUUCCAAGGUCAAAAAUUGCAAUGGAUAUGGCUAAUGCAGUUGCUUUUCUUCAUGCUGCUUUUUCCAAACCCAUUGUUUUUAGAAAUAUCAAACCCUUGAACAUCUUACUGGAUGACAACCAUGAGGCCAAAUUGUCAGAUUUCUCGAUCUCCAUAUCAAUUCCUAAAGGUGAAUCUCAUGUACGGGAUUCAGUUGCAGGGGCAACAGGACUCAUCGCACCCGAGUACCUGACCACUGGUAAUUUCAAUGAGAAGCAAGAUGUUUUCAACUUUGGUGUAUUCCUACUUGUGCUUUUGUCUGGACAGAUGGUGGUUGAUUUUUCUCGUCCUGAAAAGGAAAUUCUCUUACAAGAUCAUGUGAAAAAAUGCAUUGAAGAUGAUAGGUUUAACAAAGUCAUAGAUUCCACUAUCAUUGCCGAGGGGACUUGGCCAGGAAAAGAGCAGCAAUUGCAGGCUUAUACAGCACUUUCCCUGAGAUGCAUCUCUGAAUUAGCAGAAGAUAGACCAACAAUGAUUGAUGUUUCAAAGGAACUCAGGAAAAUAUAUUGGUCUGCAAUUUCUUGCCGUCAGCAAUAAGGAUGAUCAUGCAUACCUUUUCCAUUGACUGAUACUACCGAUUACUUCUUGGUCAACUUUCGAUCCUUUUUAUGCAGUCUUUGAGGCUACUCCAUCAGGAGCUACUGUAAAAUGUAAAAGGCUAAUACAGAAGAAAAUAACGGAACAAGAAGUCAAGAACUCCAAGAAUUAAGAGUAGGCAGCAGCAUCAUGCUGUUAUCAUAAAAGAAAGAGCAAAGAAAAGGAAAGAUACAGGCUGUGCGUGUCAUUCUGAAAUGUUUCCAAGUGUUAUUUGGUUUACAUGUUACAAGGGGAGCACAAUGCAUGAAACUCAAUAGAGAAAAGGAAGACUACUGCAGGAGUUGCUGAUAGCCUGAGAUAUUCAUUGCAUAGAUUGAAUCAGAAUGAGGCAAAGAGUUGUUUGGUGAGACUCCGAAAUAUGAACAUACUCUCUCAAGUGGAGUGUUUUUUUUACUUGAAAUUUAUACAAAUUCACACUUAUGUGUUGUGCUAUUAA